AGGUACUUAGCUAGAGGAGAGAGAGCUUCCGUAGCUUAAUAUACAAUUUACAAUAAUUAUAGAAUCUCAGAAAGUGCCAUUUCAUUAUUCAUUCAUUUCCAUCGUUGAUAUAUUUCACAAACAGAAAACAGCUGAUCGGCAUGUAUUCGUGAAUCCGUGUCGUCAAUGACAUUUGAUAUUGUGGAAAAAUCAAAUUCCCCUAGACUUGCAUGAAAACUUGCAGAAAAAAUGGCACCAAACCGAUUAUCGCGCAAUUGCAAGAAGUUGCAUGCAAUAGUCAACUGACGACAUACUGCGCAUGCCUUUAGGCAACUUUCUUGCGUCUUGCAUGUAGAAUUGCAAGCUGUAAAGCGCUCUUUAUGUAUUCUUUGAUAAUACCAAAAUAUAUGGCAAAUUAUUGUAAAUAACUUUUUUCCCUGUGAUAAAAAUUCAAUAAUUUGCAAGUUAGGCAACACUAUUUCCAAUUGUUUGUUUGUGUUCCGUGUUCCGGUCAGUGACAGUGGAUGACGUUUACGUUUAAGGUUAUGUGGUUUAGUGGUUUGAAACUUAAGGGGCGUUUAAACACAGCGAUAAGUCCAGCAACUAGUUGUGAUGACAAGUUGCUGUGAUUUGUUGAGGUUGAAACGCUGUUUAGACGCUGCGAUAAGUUGACCACAACAAGUUGAAGAGGGGACCAUUGUAUCCUGUUACUUUCAAAAUAUAAAGGUUGGGUAUGUUAUACAGGGUAUUUACAAAGUUAUAACCAAUUUUAUAUGAAAAUCGUAACAAGUUCAACUCACUGUAUAAAUAAAAAUAAGCACAACGGCAAUGGUUUAUUGAUGCCAUAUUUUAUUUAUUGUCAAAAUUUUUAAAAAUGAUUGAUAUUGCUAAUUUACUUUAUAUCUAAUAAAGGGUGAGUUAAAACUCAAGUAGGUAGGUACAUUAUUUUUUCAGUAAAAUUUAAAUGGGAUACCCUGUAUUUUAUAUCACUAUUAAAAAGUACCAUUACCGUACUUUAAUUUGUAUACAACAUUCCCUAUUCGUCUGUCUACGCAAAAGAAAAA
rnacentral:lncRNA from 1 species